ACGACGCUGGCGGCGUGCUUAACACAUGCAAGUCGAACGGUGACGAGGAGCUUGCUCCUCUGAUCAGUGGCGAACGGGUGAGUAACACGUGAGCAACCUGCCCCAGACUCUGGGAUAACAGUUGGAAACAGCUGCUAAUACCGGAUACGAGACGGAGAGGCAUCUCUACCGUCUGGAAAGUUUUCGGUCUGGGAUGGACUCGCGGCCUAUCAGCUAGUUGGUGAGGUAAUGGCUCACCAAGGCGACGACGGGUAGCCGGCCUGAGAGGGCGACCGGCCACACUGGGACUGAGACACGGCCCAGACUCCUACGGGAGGCAGCAGUGGGGAAUAUUGCACAAUGGGCGAAAGCCUGAUGCAGCGACGCCGCGUGAGGGAUGACGGCCUUCGGGUUGUAAACCUCUUUCAGCAGGGAAGAAGCGAAAGUGACGGUACCUGCAGAAGAAGCACCGGCUAACUACGUG
rnacentral:rRNA from 1 species